rnacentral:rRNA from 1 species
GGCGAACGGGUGAGUAACACGUGGGCAACCUGCCCCUCGCUCUGGGAUAACUCCGGGAAACCGGGGCUAAUACCGGAUAUGACCACUUUAGGCAUCUUGGGUGGUGGAAAGUUUUUCGGCGAGGGAUGGGCCCGCGGCCUAUCAGCUUGUUGGUGGGGUGAUGGCCUACCAAGGCAGUGACGGGUAGCCGGCCUGAGAGGGCGACCGGCCACACUGGGACUGAGACACGGCCCAGACUCCUACGGGAGGCAGCAGUGGGGAAUAUUGCGCAAUGGGCGAAAGCCUGACGCAGCGACGCCGCGUGAGGGAUGACGGCCUUCGGGUUGUAAACCUCUUUCAGCAGGGACGAAGCGCAAGUGACGGUACCUGCAGAAGAAGCACCGGCCAACUACGUGCCAGCAGCCGCGGUAAUACGUAGGGUGCAAGCGUUGUCCGGAAUUAUUGGGCGUAAAGAGCUCGUAGGCGGCUUGUCACGUCGACUGUGAAAACCCGGGGCUCAACUCCGGGCCUGCAGUCGAUACGGGCUGGCUUGAGUGCGGUAGGGGAGACUGGAAUUCCUGGUGUAGCGGUGAAAUGCGCAGAUAUCAGGAGGAACACCGGUGGCGAAGGCGGGUCUCUGGGCCGUAACUGACGCUGAGGAG